CCUACGGGAGGCAGCAGUGGGGAAUAUUGGACAAUGGGCGAAAGCCUGAUCCAGCCAUGCCGCGUGUGUGAAGAAGGCCUUCGGGUUGUAAAGCACUUUCAGUGGGGAAGAAAGCCUUGGGGCUAAUACCCUCGAGGAAGGACAUCACCCACAGAAGAAGCACCGGCUAACUCCGUGCCAGCAGCCGCGGUAAUACGGAGGGUGCGAGCGUUAAUCGGAAUUACUGGGCGUAAAGCGCGCGUAGGCGGUCUGAUAAGCCGGUUGUGAAAGCCCCGGGCUCAACCUGGGAACGGCAUCCGGAACUGUCAGGCUAGAGUGCAGGAGAGGAAGGUAGAAUUCCCGGUGUAGCGGUGAAAUGCGUAGAGAUCGGGAGGAAUACCAGUGGCGAAGGCGGCCUUCUGGACUGACACUGACGCUGAGGUGCGAAAGCGUGGGUAGCAAACAGGAUUUGAUACCCUAGUAGUC
rnacentral:rRNA from 1 species